rnacentral:lncRNA from 10 species
CAGUGCUCAAUCUUGCCCAGGCUGGAGUGCAGUGGUGUGAUCUCCGCUCGCUAUAACCUCCACCUCCCAGCCGCCUGCCUUGGCCUCCCAAAGUGCAGCCUGUGCCCGGCCGCCACCCCGUCUGGGAAGUGAGGAGCGUCUCUAACCGGCCACCCCAUCUGAGAAGUGAGGAGCCCUUCCGCCUGGCAGCCGCCCCAUCUGGGAGUGUGGUAUUGUGUGCAUAUGAGCACGAGUGCAUGGAGAAUGGCAGAAAGCAGCAGAAGAUGGAAUGGUCGGGGGAGAAAAAGCAAAUAGGCAUGUAUUCAGUGCUUACAUGUUUCAGGUACUUC